rnacentral:rRNA from 1 species
CGAGCACGCGCGUGUGGCAUAUCAAUAAGCGGAGGAAAAGAAACUAACAAGGAUUCCCUUAGUAACGGCGAGUGAAGCGGGAAGAGCUCAAAUUUGAAAGUCUUCAAGGUUCUACCUUGACGAAUUGUAGUUUAUAGAAGUGUUUUCUGUUAGUGGAGUGGCAAAAGUUCUUUGGAAUAGGACAUCAUAGAGGGUGAGAAUCCCGUAUUUGGUCAUAUCCUCCUAGCGUUGUGAUACACUUUCAACGAGUCGGAUUGUUUUGGGAAUGCAGUCCAAAAUGGGUGGUAAAUUUCAUCUAAAGCUAAAUAUUGGCGAGAGACCGAUAGCGAACAAGUACCGUGAGGGAAAGAUGAAAAGAACUUUGAAAAGAGAGUUAAACAGUACGUGAAAUUGUCAAAAGGGAAGCGUUUGACACCAGUGUUGUUUUUUCCGAAAAUCAAUUACGAAUGUUUUGUUUUUGAGGAGUUAUGACUUCAUCGGCUUGCUCCUUUCUUUACGAAACUUUCUUAAUGCACUUUUCGGUUAACAAGUCAACAUCAAUUUCUUUUGUUGUAAAAGGGUAUGAGGAAGGUGGCUUUCUUUUCGGAGAAAGUGUUUAUAGCCUUGUGCCUCUACAAUCGGAGAGAUUGAGGUCCUGCAGCGUAGAUCCUUCGGGGUUAGAUACGUUUGUGCUAAGUUAUAGCUUUUCAUAGACAACUUGUUGACUAUGUUUAGUCUUGUAGCUUACUCGCUUAUGCUAUUUUACCUACGCUUAGGAUGUUGAUGUGAUACUGCGAGCA